rnacentral:rRNA from 1 species
UACGGAGGAUGCAAGCGUUAUCCGGAAUGAUUGGGCGUAAAGCGUUUUUAAGGUGGUUUGGUAAGUCUACUGUUAAAUAUCAGGGCUUAACCCUGAACAGGCAGUGGAAACUAGCAAGCUUGAGUACGGUAGGGGCAAAGGGAAUUCCCGGUGUAGCGGUGAAAUGCGUAGAUAUCGGGAAGAACACCAAAGGCGAAAGCACU